UCAAAUUGGUGCCAACCUCUGGGUCUUUCUAGUCUUUCUCUGUCCCCCUCACUCAGUCAUCUACCACACACAGCACGGAGGGAGGGAGGGAGGGAGGGAGAUCAACACAUGCUGACAGGAGCAGAGGGAGGAGUGUAUUGACGGCCGGAAAGAGUGACUGAAGGAGGGAGAGAAACAGAAAGAGACAAAGUCAAACAUAGGAGGGAUUUCAGAACCUACAGCGAAGACAAACAUGGGGGCAGACAGCUUAGCACAGUUGAGUCUCAGACAUAGGAGAAAUCAUUAACCCUGUGAGUUCAUGAUUGUCUCAGAAAUAUGCCUGGCUGCAGAGGUACACACUCCACACACUCCAAGGUACAAGCCAUUCAUCCCAAAUAUGCCUGAUGCCACGUCCUAACAGAAGUUCCUCCAUUGAUAUCAGAGUACAGUGCUGAAAGAAGAGAAAACAUACUCAGGCGCAGCCAUGCAGCAGCAAUUAAACUUCAAAAGAGGCUCAACAGACAACACUGAUAACCUAGACUCACCUCUCUGAGGAAGUCCUCAUCUCUGAGCCGGUCUCUGAGAAGCAGGAUGUCAGCGUGCCGGCUCUCCUCUGAGCUCCACCUCAGGUUUUGUCUGACGGUCAGAGUCAGGUUCCCGGUGUCAUGACAGAACCUCAGCAAGCGGGACUGGUCUGCCCACACCUGGGACAGACCUGCUGGAGGCGUUGCUAGUGGGUUUGGCGGGCUGCAGCACAACAGUGUGCCUAGUUGGAGCUGAUAAUCUUACUGUGUGAGCAGCUCCAGGAGCUCGGUGUUGCCUGUUGCCUGUGCCAGCUGCAGCGGCGUGACUCCCUCUUCGUUUGGCAGACUGACAGCCAUCAGACCCCCCGGCUGACAAAGCAGCAGCUCUGCCAGCCGAUACAGACCCCAUCGCACAGCCAGGUGGAGGGGAGACUCCCUGAGACUGUGCUCUGGAGAUGAGGGGAGAAAUAUAAGAACAUGAAAAGGUAGAACUCAGAGACAGCAGAGAUAAAAGCAUGCAGUGGGAUCUAAGACAGCUGCUGAAGGGAAGAGGGAGCACUGGAUCCCUCUGCUCUACUGACCCACUUUAAGGGAAUAAAAGCUCUUCAACAAAGUGGUGACAGUUUCUUAUUCCUGUGCCUGCCACCCAGUGCUGUCCAACAAGAUCUGUAUCCAGGUAACUGGUCUGCAUCAAAUCACCUACACUCAGGCGACUGCCCAAUGAGCAUGGAAAAUGGGAAUGAUGGUGGAGAAGAAGGACAGUGGAAGAGAGCAGAGUUGAACAGUUCACCUUCCUUGGAGAGCACCGGCUCCAAGUUUCCAGCACAGCGCUGAGGGAUGAAGUUCUGACAAAACCUGCUGAUUGUAUCUGCUCACUAACUGCACUCAAGAAUUUCUGCACAUGAACUGACUAAAUGAUAAAAUAUAGCACCAGGAAUGCCCGUUCAGCAAGAUAACAUAAUCCUGCACUCACCGUCUCCACUGUGGCUUCCCAGCACAUUCCAGUUUUGGGGGAUAUCCAGGUUGGCCAUGGCCAGGGCCACGCGACGAUCCAUAGCCCAGCGAGAGCUCCCCUGGCCCAGGUUGAAGAGGCUGCUCAGGUCCUUGUGAUCCGUGGAGGUUAGACAAUGUCCGUGGAUUACCAGGUGCUCUGCCAGGUCCUGAGAAUAAGGAAUUCAUAAAUAAGAUACAAUCUGUGAGAACUAAUGGCCAGUGCAAAAAAAGCAACAAUCCCAAAUCUGCUAAGAUCAUUUUACUUGUUUUCAAUUCAAAACAACAUGUUAAGAUAAUUUUAUGAGUACAGGUAACUGAUUGGCUUUACACUAAUAACGAAACAGUAAUUUCAUCCUUUUGACAAACACAUUUUGUGUUUUCUAUGUCCGAGCAGGUCAUUUUUAUCACUGGGGUGCACAAACUUACAUGCAAUGUACAGGGUCAUAUUUGUGUGUCUUCCCUACCUGAGCAUCAUCUUGGACAUACUCCAGAGAAGCUCCGCCCACCCAGGUGAGCGGUGUGGUUUCAGAGCACAGGUAGGCCUGGACAGAGACCACUUCAGCCAGGUUAUGUCCUAAAGAGGGACACAAUGCAGCAAAAUGUAUAUCUCUUUACAUGAAAAAGAGCUGUUAUAUAAAGUUUGUAUCCUUUAUUCUCUCUAAUUUAUUUCCUAAUUCUGUGAUAUGGCACUGCCUGCAACUUCCUUCUCAUGCAA